rnacentral:lncRNA from 1 species
AGGACUGAGCGCUAUGGAAAGGUGGUGGGGACGCAGGUGAGGGCGACGCGGGGAAGCGCAUGGUCCUGGGGCCCGCAGACGGGACGGAGCAGCCGCGGCCCGCAGACGGGACGGAGCAGCCAGCGCCGCUUGUCGGGGCUUGUGGUUGCGAACAUAGAGUGGAAAGAGGAUUCUGCGCUCUGCUCCCGCCCCGGGAGAUUAAGAGUCAACCCUACCAUGCAGCCACGUUUUGCCAGUUCCAGGCAGCCGGGAGCCCAGGAAUGCACCCGAAAGGCGGGGAGUCAA